AAAUGUCAAAGUAAACGCUACGUGCAUAAUUCAGUGUGCAUUUGUCUAAGAUGAUUGUCCUUGAGUAAUCAGACUCAUGACGAUUCAUCAACAGAACAAUCUGACAUCGACGACGAUAAACUUCAGAGUAAACAAAACGUUCUUGCCUUAGGUUUAUGGGUAACUGUAUCAAUUGUAUUGGAUGUGAAAAGGAACCGUUCAUGGAUCUGCCUUUCUGAAUUCAGUCGUGCAGAAAUAUUGAGUCUUAUCCGUCCUUACAUAGGUAUUUUACAAGUCUUAUCUACCCAUCUUCUCUGACUUUGCCAACGAUUUUGCUAUAGCAGGCACAGUUGAACAUGUCCUUCACUAAAAUGGACCCACCACCUUUGGUAUGUGGUAUUGACCAGGGAACUAGCAACACUAAAGUGUGUGUAUUUGAUAGCGAUACAGGCGAGGUACUAGCGUCCAGUAGCAUAGAGACAAAGAGGAUAGAGCCAAAAGAAGGAUGGACGGAAAUGGACCCCUUAUGUGUUUUGGAGACAGUGGUGAACGGCAUUGAAAUCGUUGCCCAGCAACUCGAAGACAAAAAUAUCAGCAUAAAGUUUAGGAAUCACAAACCAGAUGCUGACCUUUCUGUCCUGGAGCAGAAAAACAGGCAAACCUUUCUACAACGCUAUUGAAUGGUGUGACAUUCGAGUUCGCGACGAUAACGAAAGAGAACUGGAUAAACUGCCGGGAAGAAACAAGGACCAUUUUAGAAAAACCACUGGACUGCCUUUGAGUUCGUUGUUUUGGUACACCAAAAUCCCCUGGGUUCUCACCAAUGUCCCCGGUGUAAAGGAAGCAAUUGAAGAGUGCACCUGUUACAUCGGUACAGUUAACACCUGGAUAUUAUGGAAUCUGACGGGCGGAUUGGACGGGGGUGUUUAUUGUACAGACAUCACCAAUGGACAGAUCACGGGAUUGUUCAAUCUGGAAACAUGUACCUGGGACCCAGAGUUGUGCAGCUACUUUAAGAUUCCUCAUCAUGUAUUCGCCGAGGUGAAGAGUACAUCAGAAAUUUACGGAUAUGUCAAAAAUGGAGCUCUCGCUGGAGUGCCCAUCUCGGGGAUGAUAGGAGAUCAGAUGGCGGGUACUGUUGGACAGUUAUGUUUUAAGGCGGGACAGUCCAAAUGCACGUAUGGAACCGCAGGCUGCUUGAAUAUUAACACGGGUGCAAAGGUUGUGUAUUCUACCUGUGGUAUGAUGACGUCACCACUUUUUCAACUUAGUAAAUCGGCACCAGUUGUUUAUACUCUUUGGGGUGCGGUAGAGGGUUGUGGACAGUUGAUGAGGUGGCUGAGAGACAACCUUCAGAUCGUUCAAUCAUUAAAUGAAAUUGAGAUACUUGCAGCCUCUGUUGAUUCAACGCAUGACUGCUUCUUUGUGCCUGCAUUCGGGGGUCUAUUAAGUCCUUACUGGGAGGAUGAUGCAAGAGGAACAAUUGUGGGUAUGACAAGUUACACUAGACGGGAACACAUUUGUAGAGCAGCCCUGGAAUCGACCUGCUUUAUGGUCAAAGAUAUGAUAACGGGCGUGGAAGUCGACACUGGGUUUCCAAUAUCGGAAUUAUUAGUGGACGGCGGAAUGACAGUUAACAAUCUACUACUGCAACUACAGGCCAACUUUAUCAACGAACCCGUCAUUCGAUCUUCUAUAACCGAAGCGACAUCUUUCGGAGCCGCAUUGAUGGCCGGGGCGGCAAAAGGAGUAGAUAUAUUUCCAAUUUCUGCAGACAAAAUGAAAUUGGAUGUGACCUUUUCAAUACCAUCUACUACGUUCACAUCGUCAAUGGCUGAUAACGAACGCCAGAGACUUUUCAAAAGAUGGGAUAAAGCCAUAGAAAAGGCAAAGCACUGGGUCUCCGACUGAUAAACAUGUACAACAGAUGAACAGGCUCUGUGACGUUUAUUGCGAAGACUUUAUUUCUUGAAUUACUAGUGAUAAACUCGUUCACUGUGAAAAUUAAUGUUAGCAAAGACGAGGCUGUCACGAAUCUCUCAAAAUUAUCUAGAACGCGAAUAAAAGUUGGUUUACAGUCAU
rnacentral:misc_RNA from 1 species